rnacentral:rRNA from 1 species
CCUACGGGUCGCAGCAGUAGGGAAUCUUCGGCAAUGGACGAAAGUCUGACCGAGCAACGCCGCGUGAGUGAAGAAGUUUUUCGGAUCGUAAAACUCUGUUGUUAGAGAAGAACAAGUAGGAGAGUAACUGCUCUUACCUUGGCGGUAUCUAACCAGAAAGCCACGGCUAACUACGUGCCAGCAGCCGCGGUAAUACGUAGGUGGCAAGCGUUGUCCGGAUUUAUUGGGCGUAAAGCGAGCGCAGGCGGUCUUUUAAGUCUGAUGUGAAAGCCCUCGGCUCAACCGAGGAAGGUCAUUGGAAACUGGAGGACUUGAGUGCAGAAGAGGAGAGUGGAAUUGCAUGUGUAGCGGUGAAGUGCGUAGAUAUAUGGAGGAACACCAGUGGCGAAGGCGACUCUCUGGUCUGUAACUGACGCUGAGGCUCGAAAGCGUGGGGAGCAAACAGGAUUCGAUACCCCUGUAGUC